UUCCAUCAACAAACUUAGGCGGUGAAACUGCAAUGAUUAAAAAAAAGACAAAUUAAACAAAUUAUUUAAUAAAAUAUAUGUCAUAUUUAACAAGUUUUUUGAAGAAAAAAAAAUUAUUUAGCAUUAUGUUUUUUAGUUUGUCAUUUUUUGCGAUUUCUCGUGUAUUAAUCAAAAGGGAGAAAUCAUCAUGUACUACCAUUGUUCAUCUAUGAAGACAUGUUUUCCAAGUCUUCCAUUAUGGUCCUAAGUAAUUAAUAAAUUUCACUAAGAAAACAAAAGAACUUUUCUCCUUUGCUUAUUACAACAACAUAUGAAUUGUUCCAAAUAUAAAAAGAAGAGAAGAUGAAUGGAAAAGGAAAAAGUAGCAAAGAAGAAUACCUGAUAAUUGCAGAAACACUAAUAAAGAUGAAGAGAAACUUGAAUGAAAAUAUAUUGGGAAUUGGCAUGAAAGUCACCUGUAACAAUACCGUGGCAGCAAAACCCAAGUGGAGGGGGAUACUAAGAAUAGAGGCAAUUUGAAAUGACGAAACUGCCCUUUAAAUUAAAAAUGGACAAAAUACACAUAGAUUGAUACCAAUUGGAAAGUGACUCUUCUGGUAUAGUAGAAAGUUGGCCAUAAAUCAGGAAGAAGACGGGCCUUUUCUUCUUAGUUUUUUUUUUUUAGAAAAUGCAUAAGUAUCCCCAACCUAUAUCCCAAAUCUCAGAAAUACACUUAAAGGUCAUUUGGUAAAAUGUAUUAGGAAAAAUAAUACAUGCAUUAGGUGUGUGUAUUAAUAAUACAUUGAGUUUGUUACAUUUUUUUUUUUUUGGUCAUGUAUAACUAAUGCAAGCUUAGUUAUACAUAAUAUUGUGCAUUAAGUUGUGCAUUACUAAUACCAAGAAUUCUAAGUAUUAGUAAUACAUAGAAUUUUAACACUUGCAUUAGAUUAUGUAAUUACAAAAGUACCCUCAAAGUCCUUUAAAAACAUUUUCCAUAGUACUUUGUUUCAGAAACCUAUCAUCUUUUCUUUCAUCGCCUGUACUUUGUCAAUGGAAAUUCAAGAGUAGGUUUUCUUCCUUUUUUUCUCAAUCAAACAUUGUUUGCUCAUCUUCAUAAGGUUAGUACUUUAUCUUCCAUUAAAAUCUGUAUUUUUCAACAUCUCUUUCACAAUUUAAGAUGAAAUUUAGGUUUAGCUCGUUUUUUUUAAUAUGCUUUGAGCUUGUCAAAUUCUAGUGUAGCCAUUUACAGUACUUUAUCUUCCAUUAAAAUCUGUAUUUUUCAACAUCUCUUUCACAAUUUAAGAUGAAACUUAGGUUUAGCUCGUUUUUUUUAAUAUGCUUUGAGCUCGUCAAAUUCUAGUGUAGCCAUUUACAAUACUUUAUCUUCCAUUAAAAUCUGUAUUUUUCAACAUCUCUUUCACAAUUUAAGAUGAAAUUUAGGUUUAGCUCGUUUUUUUUAAUAUGCUUUGAGCUCGUCAAAUUCUAGUGUAGCCAUUUACUUUUGAGAUUCUGAAAUGUAAUUAUAUAGCUGCUAUGACAGUUUUCUAAUAUGUCUUGUAUUUUUGUGUCUGGUCUCUAUUUUUCAUUGUUAAUUUCUCUAUGAGUUGAUGAACGUGUUUGAUAGAAGAGGUGAAGAAGUUCGCUUCUAUUUGUUUGAAUAGUGUGGCAGAUUAUUUCUCUGAUCGUUAUGCUAGUAUUGUUCCUGUUGGUGGCAUUCAAUAUCUCCUACAUUGUUCGUGUUGGUGGCAUUUGAUUCACUCUAUGUUGCUACUCGAACUCUCCGAGUGCGUGUCGGAACCUCCAAAAGUAGUGCAUUUAUGUCUCCUAAAUGUUUCACAUUGUUAGUAUCGAAUACCCCUGCCACCUAGCUAAUUCUGCCUUAUCAAUUUUUGAUGAAUGAUGGCUAUAUUCUUGAAGUCGUGUUGAAUUGAUGUAGUUAUCACAUUGUUUGUAUCGGAUCUCCCCUGCCACCUAGCUUAUACUGCCUUAUCAAUUUUUCGAUUAAUAAAUGAUCACGUUGAAUUGCCUUAUCAAUAUUGCUCCCAUGUUUUCUUGUCCUUCGAAUUUUGAUAUUAUUUGUAGUUUCUGGUACUUCGACUAUCAUAUUAUUUUGUUGAAGUUACUGUCUUGUUACUCUCUGUUGUUUUUGUUAUUAUGUGCUAUUUCUUUUACUACUUCUCUUGAUUGCUAUGGACUAUUUUUCCCCUGAGACACUGCUUAAAUCAAACUGUGACGGAGGAUCUAAAGAAUGUUGUCCAGAGAUGAUGGUGACUGCAGUUCAACAUGACGUUUUCUCAUCAGAAGAUGAGGAUGUAUGUCCCACGUGCCUCGAAGAGUAUACACCAGAGAAUCCCAAGAUAUUACAAAAUGUUCUCAUCAUUAUCACCUCAACUGUAUUUAUGAGUGUCAAGAGAGAAGUGAAACAUGUCCAGUUUGUGGAAAGGCAAGAUUUUCUUAUUUCUUUUAUUUUUCACAAGUCUUUAACUUUGUGCUUAGUUUACUACCGCCACAUAAUUUGGGAUGGAUCUAAUGCAUGAGUUGUUAGUAUUGUAACAUACAUAGGUUUAAGAUAAAGUCUUUGUAAUCUGAAAGUCACAGCAGUGUAGGUAGUCAAUGAUCACUUCUCUCAUUCAGACGUCUGAAUUGUAUUUGAGCUGGUAUAUGUUCGUGUUAAAGUGUCUCAUAUAUUGGUGAUAUGCAUACGCUUAUAUCUGCAGACUGCACUUCGACAUCUGUACUCUGCACGUCUUGAUUCCUCACAACAAUUUUGUGGACACUUUGAUAGAACUAGAGUUCAGGGGUACACAAAAGAAGACUCGAAGUAGAUACAUUCCCUAACUCAAAAAGUUUUACCUUACCUCUUUUGUUACUUCGCACAUUGACGACUUCCAUUAUAUGAUUGCCAGAAUCAUCCUUGGGAAAGAAAUGUGCCAAGAUGGCGACUAUUGCUUAAACUUGAACUAUUUUUGUGUUUUCUAUUGCAAAUGCAGUCCAGUCAAGUAUAUUUAGCUUCAUUUCUCUUAACACUUUCAUUUCCUCGAGCAGUUGAUGGAAUUCGGCGAGACAAAUUGAUGGUCAGAGUUGAAGAGAAGGAGCUUAGCUGAAAUGAAAACAGACAUAGAUGUGAAGAUUUCCUACAUCUUAGUAAGAUGAGAAUAGACUGAUUCAAGGAAUGGGUUGACAGAAACCUCCAACAAGAGGAACCGAGGCAAGGUAUUACACAAAGCUUCAGAAGUUGAUGACUCCCCUGAAAUUGGUGAUGCCAGCAUUGGCAAUGGCAGACUGAAGAGGAAACUGCUAUGAGAUAUUGCUACAAGUUAAGCCUUCAACUUUCCAUUGGUUGUAAAUAUCUUUGUAUAUUUCAAUUAGGCUAUUUUUGGUGUACAUAAGUAAUAGCAGGCCUUCCAACUAACUUCGGAUCAUUUUCAGCUGACCUUUUUUGAAUGUUUUAAUCAACUGGAUUUGUGACUUUCCAUAUAUAUUGAAGAUGUUUGACAUCUUCUUCUUUUUCAUUUUUAAUCUUAUUUCAAUGUAACAACA